CGGUCGGUUUAGGUUUCCUCCGGUUCGAGUUCUUCAACGAUGGGUUAGCCGACGAUGACGAAAAAAGAACCAACUUCCAAGCCUUCCGACCACACCUUGAACUUGUCGGAAAACGGGAGAUCAAGAACCUCAUCAGGAGAUACGAGCAAGAGGAAAAGCAACCUGUGAGGUGUCUUAUAAACAACGCUUUUGUGCCGUGGGUGUGUGACGUGGCUGAUGAGCUUCAUAUCCCUUCGGCUGUUCUAUGGGUCCAGUCUUGCGCUUGUCUCACCGCUUAUUAUUAUUACCACCACCGGCUAGUUAAGUUCCCGACCAAAACUGAGCCGGAGAUUAACGUUGAAAUCCCAAGCUUACCUUUGUUGAAGCAUGGCGAGAUCCCAAGCUUCCUUCACCCUUCAUCUCCCUUUGCAGCUUAUGGAGAAGUCAUUUUAGACCAGCUCAAGCGACUUGUAAGCCACAAGCCUCUCUUUGUUUUCAUAGACACUUUUCAAGAACUCGAAAAAGAGAUCGUCGACCACAUGUCUAACCUCUGUCCUCAAGUCAAGUUUAGCCCUCUCGGUCCUCUCUUCAAGAUGGCUCAAACUAUAAGCUCUGACGUUAAGGGAGACAUCUCCGCGCCAGCGAGUGACUGCAUGGAGUGGCUCGACUCGAGAGAACCAUCCUCAGUCGUUUAUAUCUCCUUUGGCACUAUAGUCCACUUGAAGCAAGAGCAGUUCGAGGAGAUCGCUCAUGGUGUUUUGAGCUCUGGUUUGUCCUUCUUAUGGGUGGUCCGGCCUCCUAUGGAAGGUUCAAGUGUGAAACCAUAUGUAUUGCCUCGUGAGCUUGAAGAGAAAGGGAAAAUCGUUGAAUGGUGUUCACAAGAGAGAGUGUUGGCUCAUCCUGCGGUUGCUUGCUUCUUAAGUCACUGCGGAUGGAACUCGACAAUGGAGGCUUUGUCUUCGGGAGUUCCCAUGGUCUGUUUUCCGAUGUGGGGAGAUCAGGUGACUGAUGCUGUGUACUUGGUUGAUGUUUUCAAGACAGGAGUGAGACUUGGCCGCGGAGCGGCUGAGGAGAAGAUUGUUCCGAGGGAGGUUGUGUCGGAGAAGUUGCUUGAGGCCACCGUUGGGAAAAAGGCGGUGGAGAUUAGAGAAAGCGCACGGAGGUGGAAGGAAGAAGCGGAGGCAGCCGUGGCGUUCGGUGGAUCAUCGGAUAGGAAGUUUCAAGAGUUUGUGGACGAGUUGAUUACGAAAUCUGUUGCGAGAAAAGACAACGGAGAAUACUCAUGAUGAUGUCACGUAAUAGUCCAAAUUGUUGAUGUAACUCCGAAACCUAGACACCACUACGGUAUGUCAGUAUUCAUAUUAUCUUUUUUCUUUUUCCUUUUGGGUAAAUAACACAUCAAAUCCCAUCUCAUGCUCUAGUGAUGUCGAUCUAUCAAUUUUUACAUUCUAUUUCAUCACUUCGAGCCACAAGCACUUAGAUUUUUAAAACCAUUUUGAUGCAUUAAACUAAUGUCGCCAUAUGGCUUUAAGGUCAUUUAGUAUUGGGCAAUUAUCAAUAAUAGUACAUUUUGAGUUUUUGUCUCAAAAUAGCAUUAGAAGGAGAAAGUCACAAAAAUGACAUUCAUUUAAAGAGUAAAAUAUCUCUAAUACCAUUAGUUUAGAAUUAAAUAAACAAAAAAAAAUAAAAUAAAAAAUAAAAUAAAAAAAAUGGAAAAAAAUAAAACUUUUUUGUAUAGUUUCAGAUUAUAUGUUUUCAGAUUCGAAAUUUUUUAUAAUUUUUUUUGAAAUUAUUUUUUUCGAAUUUUAUUUUUAUUUUUUUUUCAAAUUUUCUUUUUAUAAUUCAAAAAUAAUUUUUGAAACUGUUUUUAAAAUUUAUAUUUUUAAUUUUUUAGUAUUUAUUUUUUAUUUUAUAAAAUUUUAAACCCUAAUUCCAAAACCCACUCCUUAACUCUAAACCCUAAGGUUUGGAUUAAUUAACCCAAAGGGUAUAAGUGUAUAUUUAUUUACCUCUUUAAUGAAAUAUAUUUUUGUGACUUUGAGCUUUGAUUGCUAGUUUAGGAACAAAAACUUGGUUUGAUGCUAUCCUAGUAUUUUUCUCUAUAAAAUAACUUCUUAUUCAUUAAUCUUUGUUUUUUUACUAAUCAAAAAUUAUGUCAUAAAAAAACUUUUGGAAACUUAUAAUAAAAUUUAUAGAAUCAACACAAUCUCAAUAAUCUUCUAAGAUUAUACAAUAUCAAGACUUUGAUAUUCAAACUAUUUAAAAUAAAAAGAUUAUUGCCAGCUUGUCUCAGACGGAGACGUAUGCAAAGCUUCUAUUUAAUCCGAAAAUUGAGAUAGAUGGAGAGACGAACAUAAGAAUAUAUAUAGCAGAAAAGAUUAGAUAGGAAUUAUCGAAAUUGAAGGUUUUAAAGAACAAGGAUAGGUUUCAACUUGUCUGACAAUAAACUUUACGUGUAACUAUAGUUAAUCCGAAAAUUGAAAAAAGAAAACAAAAAAGACCGAUAAAUUACUAUAGGGUUAAAAUCGUCCAAUAAAUAUCGAUAAUAACGGAGAAGUAAGUCGAUGGGUAUUGAGCUAAAUAGGGUAAAGUGCUAAUGUGUGGAGUGCAAUUUCUCAAAAUAAAAUCAGUUUCUACUUUCUAGUUUCCAUAAGGAAAAUAAAAAUCGAUGGAACCGUCUCUUGAGCAUGUGAUGCUCGUAUCUUUCCCAGGCCAAGGGCACAUAAACCCUCUACUUCGUCUCGGAAAGCUCAUAGCUUCGAAAGGCCUACUGGUCACCUUUGUCACCACAGAGCAGCCAUGGGGAGAGAAGAUGCGUCAAGCCAACAAGAUUCAAGACGGCGUGCUCAAACCGGUCGGUUUAGGUUUCCUCCGGUUCGAGUUCUUCAACGAUGGGUUAGCCGACGAUGACGAAAAAAGAACCAACUUCCAAGCCUUCCGACCACACCUUGAACUUGUCGGAAAACGGGAGAUCAAGAACCUCAUCAGGAGAUACGAGCAAGAGGAAAAGCAACCUGUGAGGUGUCUUAUAAACAACGCUUUUGUGCCGUGGGUGUGUGACGUGGCUGAUGAGCUUCAUAUCCCUUCGGCUGUUCUAUGGGUCCAGUCUUGCGCUUGUCUCACCGCUUAUUAUUAUUACCACCACCGGCUAGUUAAGUUCCCG
rnacentral:lncRNA from 1 species